CUGCAUGAGAAAGGGGGUGAUUCAGGUGCUGGACAUCUUUAAGGUACUGUGCAGUGAAAACAUACAGUGUCUGUCUCAGAGGGCUUCAAUAUUUACUUCCUGGUGUGUGUGUGUGUGUGUGGUGUGUGGUCUGGACCGCCGGGGGACACACUUGCUACCAAUCACAGGAAUGGAUCCAAAUCAUUAUCAUUGAAAUAAGUUCUUCACUACACGAGCACCAGCAGGACAUCUGAACCCAGUCCCUCUGUCUCAGGUGAGACGAGUCCAGUUCCUCUCUCUCAGGUGAGACGAGUCCAGUUCCUCUCUCUCAGGUGAGACGAGUCUGAGUCCAGUUCCUCUCUCUCAGGUGAGACCAGUCCAGUUCCUCUCUCUCAGGUGAGACGAGUCCAGUUCCUCUCUCAGGUGAGACGAGUCCAGUUCCUCUCUCAGGUGAGACCAGUCUGAGUCCAGUUCCUCUCUCUCAGGUGAGACCAGUCCAGUUCCUCUCUCAGGUGAGACGAGUCUGAGUCCAGUUCCUCUCUCUCAGGUGAGACGAGUCCAGUUCCUCUCUCAGGUGAGACGAGUCUGGUACUGUGGCAGGGCCUUGGGGAAUAGAGGCUCGGAUUUCUGAUUUCAUGUGCGUUUGACACACACACACACACACACACACACACACACACACAGACAGACAAACAUACACACAAAAAAUAAAGACAUUCUGGGCCAUAUAGCCAAGUGACAUGCGCUGAAACAUGAAGGCUACCGUAACACAAUCUAUGUUAAUGCUCAAGACUAAGGUCAUCAGCUCUUUAGAACUCCUUAAACACACUAGAACAAACACAUGCAUUACAUGUCUUCACCACAGGGGGGCGCUGAGCUGACUGAGGCACCUGACUAGUUCUACAGUUACAGGCUGCCUGUGUGGGGCUGCAUGAGCGGGCCAAGCCCAGUAGAGGGCAGCACUAGUCCAGCACAAACACCAGCCAUCCAUACAUCUGACAGGGUUUGGACAAAACUCUCAAACCCAUCAGUUAUAAACCCCAGAUAAAAACCAUCACAUCUCAUCCAAUCACCAAGGCAACAGAAGGCAGUCAAGACUCUCUUCCUUCAUGGUACCCCAGUGAUGGAGGUCAAAGGUCAAGACUCUCUUCCAUCAUGGUAUCCCAGAGGUGGAGGGACUUGCCUAGUGCUGUCCGUUCUACUGACAGCCUUAGUAAACUCAAAGAGUUUCAAAAUGAUAACAAUUAUCAUAGUAAUAAUUGAUGGUUUCACUUUAAUAUUAUACUUAAAAAAAAAAAUUGUAUUACCCUUACUGCUUAAUUUCCUCACUGUUGUUAUUACUUUUUUAUAUGUUUUGUAAAUUGCUUUGAACCAAACUACACUAUACUAUACUAUACUAUACUUCACUACACUACACUACACUACACUACACUACACUACACCAUACUACACUACAUUAUUACAUUUCUGCUUUCUCAGUCAGGCUCACGUCAGCUUGCUUUGCUUUUUUUUCCCUCUCAUCAAUCAAGCUGAUAAAAAAAAGACAGUGACAGACUUAAUCAAAAAUGAUUGUGAAAUGGUAAAGCCCCUAUCCCAUCUGCAGAGCCUCUCUAUGGUCCGUCAUGGCCGCCGUCUGUGUCGGAGUGGCCAUAGAUUAGAUUAUAGUCAGUAACAGGGUUAGAACCCUACGCCUAACCAGACCAACCAUGGGUGGCCGACAUGGUGCCUCCCCUUGUGAUGUCACAUCAUGUGACGGAUGUGACAUCAUCGUGUGACGGGCGUGACAUGAGAGUGUGGAGGAUCACAGCGGCUCAAAGGCCAGUCACACAGUGGCGUCAGGCAGAGGCCAGAUCCAGCUCUCAGACCUCAGACCACCACAGGGUCUUGUG
ensembl:lncRNA